UCCUACUGCGUGCAUGCGAUGAGGAAACCUC
rnacentral:piRNA from 1 species